UACGGAGGGUGCGAGCGUUGUCCGGAAUCAUUGGGCGUAAAGGGCGCGUAGGUGGCGGGACAAGCGUGCGGUGAAAGCUCGGGGCUCAACCCCGAGUCGGCCGUGCGAACUGUUUUGCUUGAGCACUGUAGAGGCAGGCGGAAUUCCGGGUGUAGCGGUGGAAUGCGUAGAGAUCCGGAAGAACACCGGUGGCGAAGGCGGCCUGCUGGGCAGUAGCUGACACUGAGGCGCGACAGCGUGGGGGAGCAAACAGG
rnacentral:rRNA from 1 species